rnacentral:rRNA from 1 species
GAAAGUAAGACUAAUACCCAAUGACGUCUCUAGAAGACAUCUGAAAGAGAUUAAAGAUUUAUCGGUGAUGGAUGGGGAUGCGUCUGAUUAGCUUGUUGGCGGGGUAACGGCCCACCAAGGCAACGAUCAGUAGGGGUUCUGAGAGGAAGGUCCCCCACAUUGGAACUGAGACACGGUCCAAACUCCUACGGGAGGCAGCAGUGAGGAAUAUUGGUCAAUGGACGAGAGUCUGAACCAGCCAAGUAGCGUGCAGGAUGACGGCCCUAUGGGUUGUAAACUGCUUUUAUAAGGGAAUAAAGUGAGUCUCGUGAGACUUUUUGCAUGUACCUUAUGAAUAAGGACCGGCUAAUUCCGUGCCAGCAGCCGCGGUAAUACGGAAGGUCCGGGCGUUAUCCGGAUUUAUUGGGUUUAAAGGGAGCGUAGGCCGGAGAUUAAGCGUGUUGUGAAAUGUAGACGCUCAACGUCUGCACUGCAGCGCGAACUGGUUUCCUUGAGUACGCACAAAGUGGGCGGAAUUCGUGGUGUAGCGGUGAAAUGCUUAGAUAUCACGAAGAACUCCGAUUGCGAAGGCAGCUCACUGGAGCGCAACUGACGCUGAAGCUCGAAAGUGCGGGUAUCGAACAGGAUUAGAUACCCUGGUAGUCUGCACGGUAAACGAUGGAUGCCCGGGGUUCGUUUGAAUACUCGCCGUGGUUUUACGAUCGGGAAACGGUUAUCAC